GGGGGGGGGGGGGGGGGGGGGGGGGGGGGGGGGGGGGGGGGGGGGGGGGGGGGGGGGGGGGGGGGCCUGCGCUGCGAGCGGUGCCGCUGGCUCUGCGCAAACCCUUCGCCCUAACCCCCCCACCGAGUGUUUUGUCUGUCCGCCCCGGGGAGGGGAGCGGCCCUCGCUCACUCACCGGCUCCGACGGGGCCUGGCGCGGGCGAGGGGCGCCGUCAGCCGCUGGCCCUGCCCGCCCCUCACACGCGGCCUCCCACGCUGGCCCUGUGUGCCCGCAGGAGCCCGAGCCCGCGGCCGCCGGGGCUUAAAUAAACGUGUGCAUGGGCGGCCGCAGAGCGGCGAUCCCAGGUGUGAAGUGCCCGCUCCGCCCGGGCUGCGGGGCGGGAGCAGCUCGGUGCUCACUUCACGCUGAUAACUACAUCGUGCCGAGGAACAAUGGAGUCAGCUGGGCUGCGGUUACACAACCGCCUUAAUCCAGCCGAAAUUCAGGUUUCCCUGGAAGGGACGGGCCGUCCCUCGCGUCAGGCCUGCCUGGUAAAGCAGGUCGGGACAGGGGCUGCCGAGACCCCCGCCCGCGCCCCGAGCCCCCGGCGCUGUCGGCGCACUGCCAAAUGCACCACGGAGAACGGGGAAACAAACCGCCCUGGGCAUGGGGCUCCCUCUUCACCGGGGGCACGGAUCUAGCCGGCUAAAGCAGAAGAGAGCAGAAAGAUCUCCUUGAAAGGGGGAGCUGUGCUGCAGAAGAGCUGGAAUGUCAACGCACAGCUCACCUGGAGACUGCGCCACAGCCAGGGCAGACCCCUUAUGCAGCUCUGUUACUCGGAUUUGGGCUCGGUCAGAAAGACAGCUCAGAAUGCCUUGUCCUCCCAGGAGCUGCGGGGACCCAGCACAGCCGGGGCACCUCGCUGCUGCUGCGGCCCCGAGCCCAGCCGUGCCCCAAGGCUGCCGUCCCUGCCUGCUGGUGGCCUGCUGGUGGCCCGGGGGUGGCCCCAAGCUCUCUGCUGUCCCACCACAAAGGCCUUUCCUCGAGCAAGGUUUCCAGAUUCAAGUCCGCUUUUCUCCCAAGGCCCGCGCCCGCUACUCGCUUGCGCUACCCGUGCGAAUGGCGAAGGAAAAUAAAAACUCAGCAAAACCUCUCACAAAUGCCAGUGCUUUUAAACAUGAAACGACUUUUAAAUUCUUUGGAUGUGCGGGUCUCACCCACAAAAGCAAUCUUUCUAGAAAAAGACAAAUAAAUUAAAGGAAAAACACACUAAUAAUGCCUUUCUGCUUUCUAAGUGACAAAAGUACUACCUUGAAACACUCAUUUUGGCAUGUACAAGUUGGGGGGAGGGAGGCCUGGGGGGUAACCUGGCAGUGUUUGUAACACGGGUGGAAGUGCAUGCCAAGACAAGGCUGAAGAUACACCCUGCAGUCAAGAGAAGCACUCUCCUUCAGUUCAUCUCAGCAUCAAGAAUGAAAAGAUUGUAACAUAAAGCUUUGGCCAUUUUUGAAUCUACUAUAUACAAUUUUUUUUUUUUAAACUACAUAGUCAUAAAUUAAAGCAGUGAUUAAAUAAGCGUAUACAAAAUGUAAUUAAAUUAAAAGUCACAGCACAUUAUAGAGAAAAAAUAGGAACCAUUUAUCACAGCAGAGAAUAUUUUUUUUUUACCCUGUGAAAAGAACAUCGACUAGCAAACACAAAGCAUCCUAGUUGAAACAAAAGUAAUCGAAGCCACAUUUCCCUUUCUUGCAUUCAUUGCAAACAGCGAUCUUUACCCACUUUGAAACAUUCCCAGGAACAAGAUCUUCCUUGAGUAUAACAGAGAAGUUCUGCCAAAAAAAAGGAGAAAAAGAAGAAACCCAAACCCAAACCAAACAAUAUAAAAGGAAUAUACAAACAAAACAACCCCUACAAAAUAAAUAAGAAUUAUAAAGCUUUUUUUUUAAGUAACCUUAACAAUUAUCAAACUAGUAAGUUCUGCCUUAUCACAUAGACUCUCUAUACAACAUAACCCUAAAGAUUUAUUACUAUGAGGUAUUUGGAGGAAUUGGUAAAAGCGAUGCACGGCCUGUCUGGGCUGAGGGACUCAAGCUGCUUUGGGGGAAAGAAGAGGGAACCUUUGGUUUGUCAGCAAGAAAGUGGAAAAAAACAUUUUCCUUUGGUAUCAAAGAAAGUAUCAUUGCAUGGUUGCACGGCAAAAAGCACCACGGUGAAGAAUUAUUCCUUUUUUUCAUUAGUGGCCUUUCUAACAGGCUGAGGUAUUCAAAGAGUAUAAGGUGAGAGAUAAAGAGGUCAACAGCGGUUUAACACUUUGGUUCAAGCAAGGCACUCGUCCUAUGAGUUUACAAAGUUUGCAACAUGUUUGCCAAGAGCUUUAUUAUUAUUAUUAUUAUUAUUAUCCUUAUCAUCGUCAGUAGUAGCAGUUGUAGCAAGAGAAGUAUUUGUAAGGUUAUUAGGUUAUUACCACUAAGAAUGAAGACAAGGUUACACACUGAGUGAAGGUGAGGAAGGGGGUCAGGGGAUGGGGAUAAGUAGGAGAAUGAGUUCCCUUUCCAGACCAAGGCCGUGCAUGAAAAAUCUUUGGUAUUCUUUGGUAUCAUCAAUGUGAUUAAAAUCACCAAUGGAAAUCGAGUGAGGUAGCGUCUUUGGUUCACACUAUAAAUAGUAGAUCUUUACACACUUUUUUUUUCUUUUUUUUUUCUUUUUUUUUUUUUGGGGGGGGGGGGGGGGGGGGGGGGGGGGGGGGGGGGGGGGGUUUUUUUUUUUUUUAACACGUGGAAGUAGCUAUUCCUUACCUUUUGCUUCUUUGUCUUUAGCAAAUAGUUACCAAAUGUAUUGUAAAGCUAACCACACCACAAUAAUAAACCAGGAGGCUAAGCAAAGUCUCAAAAUUAGCCCCUGGGCCUUUGAAUGCACCCAAACGCAGUGAGAUAGAAAAGGGUAAGUGCUUUCUCUUUGUUUGCUAAAUGCAUAGUUUUCAUCCCUAUGUACAAAGGAGGAGGAAGAGGAGGAGGAUAGGAGGAAGAGUAGUAGAAAGAAGGAACGCUUCUUGGGGUAAAAAUGUCUUGUUUACAACUCAGGUGAGGAGAGGUGUCCUAAGACUCUUUGGUAUAAGCUCAGCAGUGUUUCCCCUGGGGCAGUGCCCACCUCCACCGCAGCCUUUUCCUGCAAAGCCAGGAGAGGAGCGGUGCCAGGGCAGCCCUGGGGCUGCUCUCAGCCCAGCCCUGGGGCUGCUCUCAGCCCAGCCCAGCCCUGGGACUGCUCUCAGCUCAGCCCUGGGGCUGCUCUCAGGCCAGCCCAGCCCAGCCCUGGGGCUGCCUGGGGAUUUGCUCCUGCAGUGGGUGUGCAGGAGCACCUUCCCAAGCAGGAGAACUGUGGCUGGCUGGCUCUGGUGGGGUUUGCUUUACCUGAGUAAGGAGAGGAGGCUGUGGCCUGGAAAGCCACAGGGCUAACGGAGCUGUGGGGCAGUCUGAAGGAGGAUUAUUUUUUUUUGUUUGUUUUGCUCUUUUUUUCCUAGAAAUCGAAUGAUGCCAUUUACAAUGGGGAUGGAUGUGGACAGCUCACCUCUCGGCCAGCCUCCCCCUGUGGUCACUGCAGUCAUGUUUGGAUGCAGCCUGCUAGCUGGAUGCAUGUUCCUAAUGCCCUCUUGCCCUUGCAGUCACCUUUGACUGAAGCCCCAUCUCCUGAUGCUCCCAAACUGUUUCGGGUUCUGCUCCCUCUCCUAAUCCUUCCUGGCAGAGUUUUAGAUCCUCUUGUCGAAUUUGAAACCAAUUUUCAUUUUGUCAGGAACGAAAUGAACUGAAAGACUAACACGAACAGACAGAGACAGGUUUCCUGGCUAAUGUUAAAUGCAGCAUUAGAAGAAACUCCCCUUCAAGGAUGCCCUGGUGGGCAAUGGCUCCAGUCAGAGCAAGGGAGCACCAGGUAAGCUGUCCAUGCUUCAGUCAGCGUGGCUGGGCAGUCUGCUCAGAGGUAACACAGCUUUCCAGGUAGACUGAGCAGUUCCAGAGUUAUUUGCUUCAUGUUUUGAAGGAAAUUAAAGACAAGUGUGUUCUUUGCCUAUUCAGAGUACGAGGCGCAUAUUGCUUGUGGGAAGAGUGGUUUGUUCCUAAUGGCUUAGAGAAAACCAAAAGGUUUAUAUCUACUUAAACAGACAUGUAAAAAAACUCAAAACACUUAAAAUCUAUAGCUUGUGCAUCAGUUUUAGUGUGUGUGGACAUGUGUGUGCACAUGUAUACAUACAUACAUCCACCCCAUAAAAAUGUGUGUGCAUGUACAUAUACACAGUCCUAUUUGGGGCUUGCACGUGUGUGUAUCAGAGAUCCUGAAAUUGCAUAUUGGGUGCAAAUUUAAUGCUGGUAUGAAAGUUCUCUUUGGUUUCAGCAAGUAGUCUAUAAAGACAAUACAAUGGAAAUACUAAAAAUGCGGCAAUGUACUUUGAAUUUCCCUGCAUUUUUAAAUUCUCAAGUUUUAAAUGAAUAAGGCUUUAUUCUCUAAACUAUAGGUACGUUACAAAGCAGUGUUUUGCUGGAAAAAAAUAAACCGUUAGUUGUCACUGUCUGUUAUUAACCUUACACUAACGAGACUGCUUUCAUAAGGUAAUUUAUGUGUGAACUUAUCAACGUUUCCAUGUCAAUUAUGUCUCUGUGGGGAUGGGACACUUCAAAAGAAAGCUUGCUAAAAUUUAAGGUAAGCUAGACUCAAAAAAUGUCCAGAUUAGAUUUCUUUUUCAUAGGUAAUUGCUUUGUCAGCCUUAAAAUGGGUUUAACAUACUGAAAUACAGAGAAAUAUUCAGUGCCAAAAAUAUUGGGUUUAUUUCACUUUAUUUUAAUAAAGAGAUAUUUCACCUGUAUUCUAAGCACUGGGUGGAAAUAAACUGUAUACCCUGAACCUUGAGUAGACCCUGUCCUCUUGGGAAAUAACUGGAGCUACAAAAGUUGCUCUACUUUGGCGUCACUGGUAUUUUGAGUGGGCUUCAUCCCCCAAACCAGUACCUGCUACUGUUUAUAGUGUUUGGAUUCUAGUUUACCUUGAAUUUUCCUCUAUCUUUUUUUUUUUUCCCUUAAAAACAAAAAGGGUGGAAGUAAGAUUAUCUAUUUCUAGUCCUUGCAUUGGGCCUAUACCUGCAUAUUUGGUUAUUUUGGAAUUUAAUAUACCUAGCAUAAUUACUACAGUAAUUUGAAAUACCGGUUAGAAACCUAACAGACACGUGUAUGUUCUUUAAAGUCUAUUUUGUCCUUACAUUAAAAUUUAAUAUGCAGAUGUUGCACGCUUUUCUCUUUAAUUUUAUCAGAGUAGGAAUGGGAUGAUUUCUCUCCUAUGGGUCUGUUAGCAACAAAGCGCUUAAAGCUUUUCAGCUACAAAUUGAAACUAUUUCAUGCAUUAUCCUGACUAACAGAUGAGCAAGAAAGAAUGUGUGGGACAAGAGCUCAGCCUGCCGCACACGGAUACAAAGCCACAAAACAUCGGGCUGUAUCUCGGUGUCGUGGGGAUUUGCUCUUGACUUCCGAGGGAUCACAAUUCCUCCUUCCCAAAGCACUGCUGGAGCUCCUCCCAGAACAUUCACUGAUGUCCCACCACUGCUCUCAACAGGAAAGGACCGCCAGCCUCCCAAGCCGUUUCUGUCCCUCCGCCUGGUAAAGUCCACAGAUAAC
ensembl:lncRNA